GGGGAAAGAUUUUAUUGGAGAGAGAUGAGCCUGCGUUGGAUUAGCUAGUUGGUAGGGUAAGAGCCUACCAAGGCUACGAUCUAUAGCUGGUCUGAGAGGACGAUCAGCCACACUGGGACUGAGACACGGCCCAGACUCCUACGGGAGGCAGCAGUGGGGAAUAUUGGACAAUGGGGGCAACCCUGAUCCAGCCAUGCCGCGUGAGUGAAGAAGGCCUUAGGGUUGUAAAGCUCUUUCGCCGGAGAAGAUAAUGACGGUAUUCGGAGAAGAAGCCCCGGCUAACUUCGUGCCAGCAGCCGCGGUAAUACGAAGGGGGCGAGCGUUGUUCGGAAUAACUGGGCGUAAAGGGCGCGUAGGCGGGCGAUUAAGUUAGAGGUGAAAUCCCCGGGCUCAACCUUGGAACUGCCUUUAAUACUGGUUGUCUAGAGUUUAGGAGAGGU
rnacentral:rRNA from 1 species